UACGUAGGUGGCAAGCGUUGUCCGGAUUUAUUGGGCUUAAAGGGUGCGUAGGCGGCUCUGUAAGUCAGUGGUGAAAUACUCUAGCUUAACUAGAGGGGUGCCAAUGAUACUGCAGGGCUUGAGUACAGAUGAGGUAGGCGGAAUUGACGGUGUAGCGGUGAAAUGCAUAGAUAUCGUCAAGAACACCUAUAGCGAAGGCAGCUUACUGGGCUGUAACUGACGCUGAGGCACGAAAGUGUGGGGAUCAAACAGG
rnacentral:rRNA from 1 species